UCUUCAAAAUGCACACACUUUCCGAGCAGUUUCAAGUUUCGCUAUGAGUGUUAGAAGCAAGUCUUUAUUAGAAGCACGUCGCUUUUCUCUCAUUGAUAUUUCAAAAGCAGAGUUUGAUUUACUACCUGCUUUGAUUAGCUCAGUCCUCAUGCUAGCUAACUUUUCUUCUUACCGCCGUUGCAAAUGUUAUGUUGUCGUAUUUAUAUUUUGCAACAAUAUAACACAUUUAGAGGACAUUUAAGUAAGUCCACAGUGCAUGUCCCCGACCACGCUAAAGUUAGUGCGUUCGGACCAUCGCGGACAUGCUAAUAUGCUAGCAAGAUGGCACACAUGCUACUCCACAGCCCUCAGAGCAGCACAACAGCAUUAAGAGGGUCACAUUCUCACAACCUUUCACAUAAUUGCGCAGGUUGUAUUUCUGUCUGUGCAGGUGUUUGUGGGCAAACCAGACUUAAGACUUUUGGGUAAAUGUAAGUAUAAAUACAUAUCUAAAAUUGGCUCUAAAAUUAAUGCAAAGGACUUUUGCCCUUCAAAGACAAAACAUUGUGGUUCUGAAGCACCUGUGAAGAACUCGCUGGAGCUUUGGUCUGCACUUCAGUUGCCAUCUGAGGUCAUCCAGGUGGGAACAUUUUAUUUUGUUAGUACUGGAAUUAUGACAAACAUGUUUUUAUUGCAGGUAUAUGCUGAACUUCAGCAGGUAACCAAUAAACAUCUGCCAAAUUCCUUCUAUGCUGAGCUCAACAUGCACACCCCCCGUAUGAUGACGCCGUUCAGACAAAAGUCCUCCCAAACCAGCAAGACAGCUGGUGUCUUGGCUGCCGUUUUCAAAGUUCCUGAUGAACAGACCCUGUCUAGAGCAGCUGCACCCUGCCUGGCCUGCCGUUUAGAAGCUUCGGCUGGAAGAUUCAGCUUUGAUCUCAGGAUUCAGCAGAGGUUCAACUGCAGGGCUCAGAUGCAUAAGGAUGGUGCGGGUUAGUCGUGCUUUUGGCCAAGAGGCUGCUGAGCUGUGAUCCACGGCUACCGUCAGCACAGCCCAGGGCUGCUACGCCCCCACAAAGAUCCAACAUGUCUACACCCGACACACAACUGUGUUCUAUACCCUACCCGCUAACCGCUAACCUGCGUGAACAAACAUCAGGGUUUUUCAUCAGCUGCCAUGAGGAUGCGAAGGGGCCUGAUGUGUUUACUACGCCUGUGAGUUGCGGAGAAGGUCGUCCAGUGAACUACGGAAACAAGGUCUACGUGGUCUUGGAGGGUCAAGAGAUCGUAACAUUGGGAAACUUUGGAGAAGCCUUCCUGGUCAUGUUUGGACAAAGAAAAAACUGUUUGCAAAAAAGAACUGUUUGUGGAAAAAGAACUGUUUAAAAAAAAAAAAAAAAAGUAAA